rnacentral:piRNA from 1 species
UGAAUGGUGCUGAUAUAGUCCCCCUGUUUC